rnacentral:tRNA from 1 species
GGUAAAAUGGCUGAUUUUAGGCGAUAAAUUGUAAAUUUAUUUAUGAAAUGAAUUUUCUUUUACCAAUAG